GACGAACGCUGGCGGCGUGCCUAACACAUGCAAGUCGAACGAAGUGGCGAACGGGUGAGUAACGCGUAAUCAACCUGCCCUUCAGAGGGGGACAACAGUUGGAAACGACUGCUAAUACCGCAUAAUGAAGGUGGGGAUUGCGUCUGUUUCGCUAGUUGGGGGGGUAACGGCCCAACAAGGCGAAAAUCAGUAGCCGGUCUGGGAGGAUGAAUGGCCACAAUGGGACUGAGACACGGCCCAGACUCCUACGGGAGGCAGCAGUGGGGAAUCUUCCGCAAUGGACGAAAGGCUGACGAAGCAACGCCGCGUGAGUGAUGACGGCCUUCGGGUUGUAAAGCUCUGUUAAUCGGGACGCGGUACCGGAAUAGAAAGCCACGGCUAACUACGUGCCAGCCGCCGCGGUAAUAC
rnacentral:rRNA from 1 species